rnacentral:rRNA from 1 species
UUGAGCCUUGAUGUGUAGGAUAGGUGGGAGGCUUAGAAGUGUGGACGCCAGUCUGCAUGGAGCCGACCUUGAAAUACCACCCUUUAAUGUUUGAUGUUCUAACGUUGACCCGUAAUCCGGGUUGCGGACAGUGUCUGGUGGGUAGUUUGACUGGGGCGGUCUCCUCCUAAAGAGUAACGGAGGAGCACGAAGGUUGGCUAAUCCUGGUCGGACAUCAGGAGGUUAGUGC